UUUAAUUAAGUAUUAUUUGUAAAUUCAAUAUCUGAUAAAAAUUAAAAACACUAAAUUCUAAACUAUUAAAAUUAAAACUUUAUCAUCAAAAUGUUAUCUGGUAAAAAUUAACACUAUUAAAUUCAAUUUCAUAAUUUUCAUUAUUAUGAAUAUUAUGAAAUUGAAUAAUCAGCCAAUUUUAAUAACAAAUUCUUUAAUUUAUAAUGGUCUAUAUAUACAGGGUGCUCGCAUGUCUAUGGACCAGGCAUUUUUCUUGAAACUACCGGGUAUAUGUGAAAAUUAUAAACUGUCCUGUUACAUUUUCCUUCCAAAUAACAAUCUAUUUUCCUUCCAAAUAACAAUCUGUC
rnacentral:lncRNA from 1 species